UUUAACAACAGGGCUGCGAAUUGAUCGUCCUCACGAACGCCUCACGAGCCAUUCCAAGGCCCAACUCACGACGCACGCCCACCUCUAGCGUAAACAUAUGUACAUUUCUGUGUAAACGCAUGUAAAGCAAUCGCAACGUUUAUCCUGGAUUUCCACGGCACUCACGGGUGUCGCGGCAACGAAAACCACACGAAUCCCACGGGCAACGCACCAUGGACGACUUUAUAAAGACGCUAAUUGCCGAGGUCAAGUCGCAGGGCGUCUUCGAUGAAUUCCGCUUUAAUUGCUGCCUGGCGGACGUGGACACGAAGCCUGCUUACCAGAAUGUGCGCACCCGGGUGGAGACGGCGGUCAAUGAUUUCCUGGCCAAGCAGCACUGGACGCCAGAGACCAACAAGGUCCAGCUGCGAGAGAGGCUGCGCAAGCACCUCCUUGACACCGACGUCCUGAACAAAGGAGUGGACCAAAUCGUGGACCAAGUGGUCAACCCCAAGGUUGCCACCAUAUUCGAGCCAAAGAUCGAGAGCAUCGUCUACAAGUACCUGGGCAUCACACCCCCGCCGCCGCCGCCAGCGAGAUCCACCCUGCUGCCGGCUCCGCCUUUGCCGCCAUUUGCUGGCCACAUGAACGGCAGCAGCCUGCUCAACGUGGAGACCACCGCCGGCCUCCUGCCCACCGACCUGGAGCAGAUCAGUCCGGACUCAGACCGGGGCACCGUCAAGUCGGAGGCGAAGGAUGACGAACUGCCGCCCGGCGUGGACGAAGAGGACACAUCGCCAUCGUACGAGCCUCUCAGCGAAGAAAAACAACUUGCCAGCAAGGAGGAUUUAAACAACGGGUCGCUGAACAACUCUGAUUCGAUCAACGGCGUUUCGCAGGCGUCGCAGCUCUCGCAGGUUUCCAGCGACAGUCGCCUGACCAUCGCCUCCUCCACGGAAUCAGUGGGCGAUGCCCAGCAGGCAACGGCAGCCCACAACAGCGGGGAUCCAGCCAACAUUUCCGAGGAGGCCCAGAUGCCAAAGUUCAACGAAAACUCCAGUGAUACGAGUGCUGGAGCAGGGGACAACGGCAGUCGCCAACUGCACUUCGAUAUUAAGCAGGAUGCCAUUACCUUCGAAGGUACUGAGCGGAAGAACUCUGUGUCGAAGGACACAAACGGUGGCCCACAGAUUCUAUCUAUUGAAGAUGCCAUUAUGUCGGAGGUUAAGGCCAACAUAGACGAUGCUAAUAAUGCCAGCAUUGAGUCUAUAGUUGAACCGGAAUUAAUAAUACCGCCAACUCCAGCUCUGCCGACAGUUGAGCCUCCUCCUCCUCCGGCCCCACCAAAAAUUGAGCCUCCUCCUCCUCCAGCCCCACCAAAAGUUGAGCCUCCUCCUGCGCCCCAACCACCAGCACCACCUAAAGAUGAUCCACCUUCUCCGCCAGCGCCACCAAAAGUUGAACUUCCUCCAACGCCACAACCGGCAGAGAGCAGUAAUGGAUUCUUUUCGGAGGCACCCAAGGAUGUUGGGAAUACAAAUACAAAUGUACAGUCCGAUGCGGUGGAUGCGGAGGUAUUCGUAAACAAAGAAGCCAAAUCCACAACGACAGCCGAAAUCAAGGAUGAUAAACCUCUAAUUCUCGCCCCGCCAGAAGAUGUGGAAACGUCUAAGGAACCGAGUAAACCCAUGGCAUCGCCCAUUUCUGUAUUGUCGCAAUCCAAGAGCCAUUCAAAGUCCAAGGACAGAGAGAGGGAGCGCCGACAUCGCAGCCACUCAGAUGAUAAGCAGCGCCGCAAGAGCAGCGACCGGGAUCGUGAUCGUGACCGUGAGCGUAGUCGGGAUAAAUCUCACAACAAACAUUCCUCGAGUUCCAGCUCGAAGCACUCCUCAUCGCACUCCUCAAGCUCGAAACAUAGAAGCAGUAGCUCCAGGAACGACAAAAGCUCAAGCUCAUCUAGCCGAAGCAAUCGCGAUUCGUCCUCAUCAAAACACUCGGCCACUUCAUCUUCAUCUCGCCACGAGUCCUCGUCACACAAAAAACACAAGUCCAGUUCAUCUUCAUCACGAUCGGAUCGGGACAAAGACAAGGAUAAGGGAAGGGACAAGGACAAGGACAAGGAAAAGGAGAGCCAAAGACGCAGCCACCACAGCAGCAGCAGCUCCUCAUCGUCGUCUAAAAAAAAGGAACACGAUAGAGGACGCGAUCGUGACCGCAACAAAUCAAACUCAUCCGGCAGUGGGAAGACUAAAGCGAUCCAGGAUGAUCACAACGAGAGCAAGUCGAAACUUAAUCAGCGACGGAACUCCGACUCAAAUGAUGAGGGCAAGCCGCCAAGCUCUGGUGGUCCGGCAAAGAUAUCCCAGUCCGAGAUUGCGCAAGUUCCGGAAAAAGCUGAAGCGCCGGUAGAGAAUGGCAGCAACACGAAUGGAAACUCCAAUGGUGGCAGCAAUGGUGAGUGCGACAGUGCUGCCAGUUCAAGCGGUGUUGUUAUUGUCAGCGACAUCCUCCAGCAAUCGUCGACCAGUUUCAUUGAACUGACUGCUGGUUCCCAGUCACAAAGGCAAGUGGAGACCAGUAAAGAUGUGCCCGAGGAUAUUGACGGAAAAAAAAACAAAAGUCAGUCAGAGAAACCAGAAUCGGAGCCAGAUUCACCCGAUGAAGAACCAAAUGUAGAACCUCAAAUAGCUGACAAAGCUGAAUCCGUACCUGAUUCCCCUGUCGAGGAAAACAAAGAAGACGAUGGGUUGAAAAUGGCAUCAAUGGAGAAACCACAUGCUGAGAAGAGCAUACCGGAGGCACCUUCUAAAUCUGAACAAACCCUAGAGCCUGCUGACCCCAGCCAACUUGAGGAUAUAACGAAAGAUGCCGAGAAGCUCGCCCCAGAAAUUCCAAAAUCAAGUGAACAAAGUGAUAAAUUAGUCGGCGACUUUGUAACCCACUUUGAGGAAAAUACAGACGAGUUUAAGGCGCGCCUCCAGCUCAUAAAUCAAUUGAUCGAGGAUCGUAAUAAUUUGCUCAACAGGCUGAGCGCGGACGGUUCACAGGACGAGGUAGUUGAUGUACGUGCUCUGCGAAGGAGUAUUUCCAAGCGAAGGCGGAGCAGCUUACAAGAGCAGCAGCAAGCGGUGCGGGAGUCCACACCGACGCGGCAUUGUAGUCCGAGCAGCAGCACCUCCGGCAGUCCGGCGAAGAGGCUCAGGCGGGAUGAACCUAAAGCGUCGCCCACGCCAUCCGACGCCAGUAUAAACUCCAAGGAAAACGAGGCUUUGGAGAAGCAGGAGCAUGGUGCGUACUGUAUCAUAGCAAGUUAUCAAUUGGUCUGACAAUCUGGUGAACCUGUGUUCCAAGUAUCGCUUUAUUGUUAACGCUUUUAUUAGGAUGGAUCGAUAAUAUCUUAAGAAUCGUAGGAUGCGGAAGAUAUUUUCAGAAAGAACAAACAUUUUUGUUUGCUUUUUAAAUCUAAUCUAUUUUUUUUUAUGAAAUCAGGUAAUCUAAAAUCCUUAAUAAAGCAAAUUGAUCUCCAUAUAUAUAUCUAAUUCCGCUUCUACGAUAUUUCACAAUACUAAAGUCAGCCCCAAUCGAUCCACCCUUCGUACUACAUAUCUCAUGCUCAUCCUUAUCGUUAUUUCUACCACCUCUAUUUUCUCCUCCACAUGCAUCCACAUAAUUUGUAAAUUAAUAUAGCUGUAUGAAGCCUCCAUUAGUCCUAUCCAAAUCUAUGUGCUGGACGCCCUGUCAGCCAGGCGACUCAGCAAGAAGCUUUGCCAGCAGCAGCGGUACACCAACGAUGAUCUCUACAAGCCCCG